rnacentral:rRNA from 1 species
AGGGUUCGAUUCUGGCUCAGGAUGAACGCUGGCGGCGUGCUUAACACAUGCAAGUCGAACGGGAUCCCAGGAGCUUGCUCCUGGGUGAGAGUGGCGAACGGGUGAGUAAUGCGUGACCGACCUGCCCCAUACACCGGAAUAGCUCCUGGAAACGGGUGGUAAUGCCGGAUGCUCCAGUUGACCGCAUGGUCCUCUGGGAAAGCUUUUGCGGUAUGGGAUGGGGUCGCGUCCUAUCAGCUUGAUGGCGGGGUAACGGCCCACCAUGGCUUCGACGGGUAGCCGGCCUGAGAGGGCGACCGGCCACAUUGGGACUGAGAUACGGCCCAGACUCCUACGGGAGGCAGCAGUGGGGAAUAUUGGGCAAUGGGCGCAAGCCUGACCCAGCAACGCCGCGUGAAGGAAGAAGGCUUUCGGGUUGUAAACUUCUUUUGUCAGGGACGAGUAGAAGACGGUACCUGACGAAUAAGCCACGGCUAACUACGUGCCAGCAGCCGCGGUAAUACGUAGGUGGCAAGCGUUGUCCGGAAUUAUUGGGCGUAAAGCGCAUGUAGGCGGUUCCCUAAGUCGGUCGUGAAAAUGCGGUGCUUAACGCCGUAUGGCGAUCGAAACUGGGGGACUUGAGUGCAGGAGAGGAAAGGGGAACUCCCAGUGUAGCGGUGAAAUGCGUAGAUAUUGGGAAGAACACCGGUGGCGAAGGCGCCUUUCUGGACUGUGUCUGACGCUGAGAUGCGAAAGCCAGGGUAGCGAACGGGAUUAGAUACCCCGGUAGUCCUGGCCGUAAACGAUGGGUACUAGGUGUGGGAGGUAUCGACCCCUUCCGUGCCGGAGUUAACGCAAUAAGUACCCCGCCUGGGGAGUACGGCCGCAAGGCUUAAACUCAAAGGAAUUGACGGGGGCCCGCACAAGCGGUGGAGUAUGUGGUUUAAUU